rnacentral:rRNA from 1 species
CCUACGGGGGGCAGCAGUGAGGAAUAGUGGUCAAGGGGCGCGAGCCUGAACCAGCCAAGUCGCGUGAGGGAAGACGGUCCUAUGGAUUGUAAACCUCUUUUGUCGGGGAGCAAAAGACGCCACGCGUGGCGUUCCGAGGGUACCCGAAGAAAAAGCAUCGGCUAACGCCGUGCCAGCAGCCGCGGUACUACGGAGGAUGCGAGCGUUAUCCGGAUUUAGUGGGUUUAAAGGGUGCGUAGGCGGCCUUUUAAGUCAGCGGUGAAAGUCUGUGGCUCAACCAUAGAAUUGCCGUUGAAACUGGUAGGCUUGAGUAUGUUUGAGGCAGGCCGCAUGCGUGUUGUCGCGGU